rnacentral:rRNA from 1 species
UACGUAGGGUGCGAGCGUUGUCCGGAAUUAUUGGGCGUAAAGAGCUCGUAGGCGGUGUGUCACGUCGGCCGUGAAAGCCUGCAGCUUAACUGUGGGCGUGCGGUCGAUACGGGCAUCACUGGAGUUCGGCAGGGGAGACUGGAAUUCCUGGUGUAGCGGUGAAAUGCGCAGAUAUCAGGAGGAACACCGGUGGCGAAGGCGGGUCUCUGGGCCGAUACUGACGCUGAGGAGCGAAAGCGUGGGGAGCAAACAGG